rnacentral:rRNA from 1 species
AACGAACGCUGGCGGCAGGCCUAACACAUGCAAGUCGAGCGCGCCCUUCGGGGUGAGCGGCGGACGGGUUAGUAACGCGUGGGAAUAUGCCCUUUGGUACGGAAUAGCCUCUGGAAACGGAGAGUAAUACCGUAUGAGCCCUUCGGGGGAAAGAUUUAUCGCCAAAGGAUUAGCCCGCGUUAGAUUAGGUAGUUGGUGGGGUAAUGGCCUACCAAGCCUACGAUCUAUAGCUGGUUUUAGAGGAUGAUCAGCAACACUGGGACUGAGACACGGCCCAGACUCCUACGGGAGGCAGCAGUGGGGAAUCUUGGACAAUAGGCGAAAGCCUGAUCCAGCGACGUCACGUGAAUGAUGAAGGCCUUAGGGUUGUAAAAUUCUUUUAGUGGAGAAGAUAAUGACGGUAUCCACAGAAAAAGUCCCGGCUAACUUCGUGCCAGCCGCCGCCGUAACAC